GCUCCAAUAGCGUAUAUUAAUGUUGUUGCAGUUAAAAAGCUCGUAGUUGAAUUUCUGGUUCAACUCUCGGUCCGAGACCUCGUGUCUUGCGUACUGUUGUUAGUUGAAUCCAUCUUAGUAGUGAGUGUUGCUGGCAUUAAGUUGUUGGUUGCAGGAGCUGCUUCGUUUACUGUGAAUAAAAUAGAGUGUUUAAAGCAGGC
rnacentral:rRNA from 1 species